GAUGAACGCUGGCGGCGUGCCUAACACAUGCAAGUCGAACGAAGCACUUAGGUGAAAUCCUUCGGGGUGAAGCUUUUGUGACUGAGUGGCGGACGGGUGAGUAACGCGUGGGCAACCUGCCCUAUACCGGGGGACAACAGCUGGAAACGGCUGCUAAUACCGCAUAAGCGCACAGAGUCGCAUGGCUCAGUGUGAACAACUCCGGUGGUAUAGGAUGGACCGCGUCCGAUUAGCUAGUUGGUAGUGUAAUGGACUACCAAGGCGACGAUCGGUAGCCGGCCUGAGAGGGCGGACGGCCACAUUGGGACCGAGACACGGCCCAGACUCCUGCGGGAGGCAGCAGUGGGGGAUAUUGCGCAAUGGGGGAAACCCUGACGCAGCAACGCCGCGUGAUUGAAGAAGGCCUUCGGGUUGUAAAGAUCUUUAAUCAGGGACGAAGGAAGUGACGGUACCUGAAGAAUAAGCUCCGGCUAACUACGUGCCAGCCGCCGCUGUAAAAC
rnacentral:rRNA from 1 species